GAUGAACGCUGGCGGCGUGCUUAACACAUGCAAGUCGAACGAAGUGGCGGACGGGUGAGUAACGCGUGGGUAACCUGCCUUGUACAGGGGGAUAACAGUUGGAAACGGCUGCUAAUACCGCAUAGUAUAAGAUGGACCCGCGUUGGAUUAGCUAGUUGGUGAGGUAACGGCCCACCAAGGCGACGAUCCAUAGCCGACCUGAGAGGGUGACCGGCCACAUUGGGACUGAGACACGGCCCAAACUCCUACGGGAGGCAGCAGUGGGGAAUAUUGCACAAUGGGCGAAAGCCUGAUGCAGCGACGCCGCGUGAGCGAAGAAGUAUUUCGGUAUGUAAAGCUCUAUCAGCAGGGAAGCGGUACCUGACUAAGAAGCACCGGCUAAAUACGUGCCAGCAGCCGCGGUAAUACGUAUGGUGCAAGCGUUAUCCGGAUUUACUGGGUGUAAAGGGAGCGCAGGCGGUGCGGCAAGUCUGAUGUGAAAGCCCGGGGCUCAACCCCGGUACUGCAUUGGAAACUGUCGUACUAGAGUGUCGGAGGGGUAAGCGGAAUUCCUAGUGUAGCGGUGAAAUGCGUAGAUAUUAG
rnacentral:rRNA from 1 species